UCAGACCUCUAUCUUCUGCACU
rnacentral:misc_RNA from 1 species